rnacentral:misc_RNA from 1 species
GAUGAAGAACGUAGCGAAAUGCGAUAAGUAAUGUGAAUUGCAGAAUUCAGUGAAUCAUCGAAUCUUUGAACGCACAUUGCGCCCGCCAGUAUUCUGGCGGGCAUGCCUGUUCGAGCGUCAUUUCAACCAUCAAGCCCCCGGCUUGUGUUGGGGACCUGCGGCUGCCGCAGGCCCUGAAAAGCAGUGGCGGGCUCGCUGUCACACCGAGCGUAGUAGCAUACAUCUCGCUCUGGGCGUGCUGCGGGUUCCGGCCGUUAAACCACCUUCAUAACCCAAGGUUGACCUCGUAUCAGGUAGGAAGACCCGCUGAACUUAAGCAUAUUAAUAAGCGGAGGA